UGCAGUCGAGCGGACAGAUGGGAGCUUGCUCCCUGAUGUUAGCGGCGGACGGGUGAGUAACACGUGGGUAACCUGCCUGUAAGACUGGGAUAACUCCGGGAAACCGGGGCUAAUACCGGAUGGUUGUUUGAACCGCAUGGUUCAAACAUAAAAGGUGGCUUCGGCUACCACUUACAGAUGGACCCGCGGCGCAUUAGCUAGUUGGUGAGGUAACGGCUCACCAAGGCAACGAUGCGUAGCCGACCUGAGAGGGUGAUCGGCCACACUGGGACUGAGACACGGCCCAGACUCCUACGGGAGGCAGCAGUAGGGAAUCUUCCGCAAUGGACGAAAGUCUGACGGAGCAACGCCGCGUGAGUGAUGAAGGUUUUCGGAUCGUAAAGCUCUGUUGUUAGGGAAGAACAAGUACCGUUCGAAUAGGGCGGUACCUUGACGGUACCUAACCAGAAAGCCACGGCUAACUACGUGCCAGCAGCCGCGGUAAUACGUAGGUGGCAAGCGUUGUCCGGAAUUAUUGGGCGUAAAGGGCUCGCAGGCGGUUUCUUAAGUCUGAUGUGAAAGCCCCCGGCUCAACCGGGGAGGGUCAUUGGAAACUGGGGAACUUGAGUGCAGAAGAGGAGAGUGGAAUUCCACGUGUAGCGGUGAAAUGCGUAGAGAUGUGGAGGAACACCAGUGGCGAAGGCGACUCUCUGGUCUGUAACUGAC
rnacentral:rRNA from 1 species